GGGGUUAUAGCUCAGUGGUAGAGUGCAUGCUUAGCAUGCACAAGGUCCUGGGUUCAAUUCCCAGUACCUCCA
rnacentral:tRNA from 1 species